AUUGAACGCUGGCGGCAUGCUUUACACAUGCAAGUCGAACGGCAGCACAGGGAGCUUGCUCCUGGGUGGCGAGUGGCGUACGGGUGAGUAAUGUAUCGGAACGUGCCUGGUAGUGGGGGAUAACUACUCGAAAGAGUGGCUAAUACCGCAUGAGAUCUUUGGAUGAAAGCGGGGGACCUUCGGGCCUCGUGCUACUGGAGCGGCCGAUAUCAGAUUAGGUUGUUGGUGGGGUAAAGGCCUACCAAGCCUGCGAUCUGUAGCUGGUCUGAGAGGACGACCAGCCACACUGGGACUGAGACACGGCCCAGACUCCUACGGGAGGCAGCAGUGGGGAAUUUUGGACAAUGGGCGCAAGCCUGAUCCAGCAAUGCCGCGUGCAGGACGAAGGCCUUCGGGUUGUAAACUGCUUUUGUACAGAACGAAAAGUCUCUGGCUAAUAUCUAGAGAUCAUGACGGUACUGUAAGAAUAAGCACCGGCUAACUACGUG
rnacentral:rRNA from 1 species